rnacentral:rRNA from 1 species
AUAAUUAUUAGUUUUUUAAUUGAAAGCUUGUAUGAAGGGUUGGACGAGAUAAAAUCUGUCUUUAUUUAAAUUACAAUAGAAUUUAACUUUUAAGUCAAAAGGCUUAAAUGUAUAUAAAAGACGAGAAGACCCUAUAGAUCUUUAUUUAAUUAAUAUUUUGAUAAUUUAAGAUUAUUUUAGUUUAAAGUUUUAAUUAAAUUUUAUUGGGGUAAUAUAGAGAUUAAAUAAAUUCUUUUUAUUUAUUACAUUGAUUUAUGAAUAUAUGAUCCAAUAUUAUUGAUUAUAAGAUUAAGUUACCUUAGGGAUAACAGCGUAAUUUUUUUGGAGAGCUCAUAUCGAUAAAAAAGUUUGCGACCUCGAUGUUGGAUUAAAAAUUAGCUUGGGUGCAGAAGCUCAAGAUUUUGGUCUGUUCGACCAUUAAAUUUUUACAUGAUCUGAGUUCAGACCGGCGUAAGCCAGGUCGGUUUCUAUCUUUAUUUAUCUAAAAUAUUUUAGUACGAAAGGACCAAAUAUUUAAUAUAAUUAUAUUUCUUUUUUGAAUAAUAUU